GUGCCCUUUUAAGGUGGCUGUGGCACUUUAAGAGGCUAACACAGAAGGGCAAAGGGAAGAAGUCUUCAUAAAACCUGGAGAUGAGACGGUACACCUCCUCUCGGGAUAUCGUCUGGAGUCACAUGU